rnacentral:lncRNA from 1 species
AAAAGCCAUUACACAACAUCUAUGAGCGAAAAUAAACAGUGUUUUGCCCAUAGGCUCAGUGCCAUCCGAUUUUUUUGGAUGGCGUGGAAAAAUCGACGCAUCAGAUAUACUAUGUCCAUUGCAAUACAGUCGAUUUAUCACGUGAAACUGCAACGGCUCUACAAGAGCUGUUGGGACUUUUUAGGCCAAACCACAAUGCCUUGCAGCUUUACGAGAGCCGUUGUGGGGCAAAAACACUGUACACUUUCACCUAUUGUAUUUUUAAGACUUUUCUUAAAACAAUUAUGUAAAUAUAAUUAGAAUCAUUGAUAAAUAUUAUGAAUACGUUUUAUAUGUAAU